rnacentral:rRNA from 1 species
UUGGAGGGCAAGUCUGGUGCCAGCACCCGCGGUAAUUCCGGCUCUAGUAGCGUAUAUUAAAGUUGUUGCAGUUAAAAAGCUCGUAGUCUGACUUCGGGCUGGGCUGUGAAGGCUCACCGCAAGGUGGGACGGAUAGCCUGGCCUUACCCUCUGAUGUGCUCUCUGCUCUUAACUGAGUGGAUCUGUCGCACAGAGGCGUUUACCUUGAGCAAGUUGAGGUGUUCAAGGCAGGCAUAAUCGCUCGUACACGUUAGCAUGGGAUAAUGAAAUAGGGCCUUGGGUUCGCUGUUGCCGGUUGGUGAGCCCGGGCAAUGAUCAACAGGGGCGGUCGGGGUGCUUCAUAUGCAGGCGCUAGAGGUGAAAUUCUUGGACCGUCUGCAGAUGCCCAGAUGCGAAAGCGUUGCACCAGUACGUCCCCAUUGAUCAAGAACGAAAGUUAAGGGAGCGAAGACGAUCAGAUACCGUCGUAGUCUUAACCCUAAACGAUACCGACCAGGGAUCGAGGAUAGUCCCAUGGUUGACUCCUUCGGCGCCUUACGGGAAAC